GUUAUGACUAGCAAUAUUAUCACGCUGUCUCCUUUUCAUUUCCUAAUAUAUGUGAUGAUGUAUUCUUAGGGAGCCAUUAGACCUGUUUCCCAGGCCAGUACCUCCCGGAGUAUUGGCUGCCAGACUGACCCCCUUCCAAAAAGAUCUGUUGGAACCCAACUAUCCAAGGACACUCUUAAGACUCACAUCAGAAGCAGAGCUUCUCAGACAAGUGUGGUCUGCGAGAAUGUGUGGUCUCCCCCACUUCUCACCUCAACACCCUUGAAGCCCCUUCCACCCAAAAAGAGGCCGCGACUGGAACUAGAGGAGGAUGACGAUGAAUGGGAGGCCUCCAUUGAGGCUACUGACCCUAAUGACUCCACUUUCAUUCGAAGUGUAUCAAUGACAACAGAGUCAUCGACUGUAUCACAAGCCUCACUACCAUAUGAUGUACCUAAAUAUAUUGUAUAUGAAAACUGCCUCCUCGAG
rnacentral:lncRNA from 1 species